rnacentral:rRNA from 1 species
AUUGAACGCUGGCGGCAUGCCUUACACAUGCAAGUCGAACGGCAGCGCGGGGCAACCUGGCGGCGAGUGGCGAACGGGUGAGUAAUAUAUCGGAACAUACCCUAGAGUGGGGGAUAACGUAGCGAAAGUUACGCUAAUACCGCAUACGCACUAAGGUGGAAAGUGGGGGAUCUUCGGACCUCAUGCUCAUGGAGUGGCCGAUAUCUGAUUAGCUAGUUGGUGAGGUAAAAGGCUCACCAAGGCGACGAUCAGUAGCUGGUUUGAGAGAACGACCAGCCACACUGGAACUGAGACACGGUCCAGACUCCUACGGGAGGCAGCAGUGGGGAAUUUUGG